CAUAAACCCUAAUUUUCUCAGGCUCCUUGCAGCUAAACGGAUCCUCCGCUUCUCCAUCAAUAGGUUUAUAGAACGGGUUGAGACAGCAGCAAACAAUGGCUCCAAAAGCUGAGAAGAAGGCAGAGCCAAAGGCACAGGCCUUGAAGGCUGCGAAAGUAGUGAAAUCUAGACCACUUUUAAGAAGAAGACUAAGAAGAUCCGUACAAAAGUUACAUUUCACAGGCCAAAGACCUUGAGGGCCCGUUUGGAUCAAGUAUUUUAUCAU